rnacentral:lncRNA from 1 species
CACCAGUAUAUUACACCAGUCAGUAUAUUACCACCAUCAGUAAUGACACCAGUCAUUAUAUUACACAACAGUAUAUUACCACCAGUAUAUUACCACCAGUCAGUAUAUUACCACCAGUAUAUUACCACCAGUAUAUUACCACCAGUAUAUUACCACCAGUAUAUUACCACCAGAGGCUAUGAUACAGUAUUGAGGCAUAUACAGUAGCGAUGCUUAUAUACCGUAGAGCGGCUUCAA